GUGUCUGUUAUGCAACCUUCCAUUCACUCCAGCAUCACUACCUCACCUGUGGUCCUUCAGGUUCCUGCAGGUCUCAGCACGAAUUAACUGCAGAUAUGCAUUCUGAGAGCAUGGAAAUACCUCACAAACUACUGUGACCAUCCUGUCGCCAAGGGACUCUGAAGCUUAUUGCCGGCGGCUCAUCCAUGUGGCUGAAAAGGAGUCUGAAGCAGACGCUGUCACGUGGUCAUGCUGAAUUCUACCCG